CACAGGUCAAAAGAUGUGUAUUCAGAAUCAGCCAAAAAUACUUUUUCUAAACCUCAUAUGCCAUCACCAAAGAGUCAACGAAAAUCCUGCUCUAUUGAAGAUUAUGAAGAUUAUUACACCAAUAUUGAAGACCUCAACACGUAUGGCAACAUCUGAUGAAAACGCAUGAUAUUUCUUAAAUGUGCUUAAUACAGGACAAGUUAAAAAACAAAAAUCUAUUUUAGUAUAUAACACAAAAACUGUUUUGAAGGGUGUGACUCUUUUCUAUAUCUACUGUAUAUUUAAUUUCAUCAGCAUUUUUAAGUUUCAUUUUAUUUGUGGCACAUUAAAAAUAUUAAAUACAACUAUUUUUUUAUUAACAGUAUAACAUUAUCAAAGUUG